AGUGAACGCUGGCGGUAGGCCUAACACAUGCGAGUCGAACGGCAGCACAGUAAGAGCUUGCUCUUACGGGUGGCGAGUGGCGGACGGGUGAGGAAUACAUCGGAAUCUACUUUUUCGUGGGGGAUAACGUAGGGAAACUUACGCUAAUACCGCAUACGACCUACGGGUGAAAGCAGGGGAUCUUCGGACCUUGCGCGAUUGAAUGAGCCGAUGUCGGAUUAGCUGGUUGGCGGGGUAAAGGCCCACCAAGGCGACGAUCCGUAGCUGGUCUGAGAGGAUGAUCAGCCACACUGGAACUGAGACACGGUCCAGACUCCUACGGGAGGCAGCAGUGGGGAAUAUUGGACAAUGGGCGCAAGCCUGAUCCAGCCAUACCGCGUGGGUGAAGAAGGCCUUCGGGUUGUAAAGCCCUUUUGUUGGGAAAGAAAAGCAGCAGGUUAAUACCCCGCUGUUCUGACGGUACCCAAAGAAUAAGCACCGGCUAACUUCGUG
rnacentral:rRNA from 1 species